GGGGAAUAUUGGACAAUGGGGGGAACCCUGAUCCAGCGACGCCGCGUGAGUGAAGAAGUAUUUCGGUAUGUAAAGCUCUAUCAGCAGGGAAGAAAAUGACGGUACCUGACUAAGAAGCCCCGGCUAACUACGUGCCAGCAGCCGCGGUAAUACGUAGGGGGCAAGCGUUAUCCGGAUUUACUGGGUGUAAAGGGAGCGCAGACGGCGAAGCAAGUCUGAAGUGAAAUGCAUGGGCUCAACCCAUGAAUUGCUUUGGAAACUGUUUGGCUUGAGUGUCGGAGGGGUAAGCGGAAUUCCUAGUGUAGCGGUGAAAUGCGUAGAUAUUAGGAGGAACACCGGAGGCGAAGGCGGCUUACUGGACGACAACUGACGUUGAGGCUCGAAGGCGUGGGGAGCAAACAGGAUUAGAUACCCUGGUAGUCCACGCAGUAAACGAUGAAUACUUGGUGUCGGGGAGGUAAACUUUUCGGUGCCGCAAGCAAACGCAUUAAGUAUUCCACCUGGGGAGUACGUUCGCAAGAAUG
rnacentral:rRNA from 1 species